rnacentral:rRNA from 1 species
AACGAACGCUGGCGGCGUGCUUAACACAUGCAAGUCGAGUGCGCGUGCCGUAGCAAUACGGCAUGGCGCACGGCGCACGGGUGCGUAACACGUGGGCAAUCUGCCCUUCGAUGGGGAAUAACUCCGGGAAACCGAAGCUAAUUCCGCAUAACAUUCCUUGGACUUCGGUUCGAGGACUCAAAGCCGUAAGGCGUCGAAGGAGGAGCCCGCGCACGAUUAGCUAGUUGGAGGGUAACGGCCUACCAAGGCUUUGAUCGUUAGCUGGUCUGAGAGGAUGGCCAGCCACACUGGAACUGAGACACGGUCCAGACUCCUACCGGGAGGCAGCAGUGGGGAAUCUUGC